GCAUUCAUUUUUGUAGCACAUAUAAUAAAACUGGAAUGAUACAGAGAAGAAUAGCGUGACCUCUGUGCAAGGAUGUCAUGCAAAUCUGUGAAGCAUUAAAUAUUUAA